AUUGAACGCUGGCGGCAUGCCUUACACAUGCAAGUCGAACGGCAGCGCGGACUUCGGUCUGGCGGCGAGUGGCGAACGGGUGAGUAAUGUAUCGGAACGUACCAUUCAGUGGGGGAUAACGCAGCGAAAGUUGCGCUAAUACCGCAUAUUCUGUGCGCAGGAAAGCAGGGGAUCGCAAGACCUUGCGCUGGUUGAGCGGCCGAUAUCAGAUUAGCUAGUUGGUGAGGUAAAGGCUAACCAAGGCGACGAUCUGUAGCGGGUCUGAGAGGAUGAUCCGCCACACUGGAACUGAGACACGGUCCAGACUCCUACGGGAGGCAGCAGUGGGGAAUUUUGGACAAUGGGCGCAAGCCUGAUCCAGCCAUGCCGCGUGAGUGAAGAAGGCCUUCGGGUUGUAAAGCUCUUUCGGCCGGGAAGAAAUCGUAUGGGUUAAUACCCUGUGCGGAUGACGGUACCGGCAUAAGAAGCACCGGCUAACUACGUGCCAGCCGCCGCAGUAAUAC
rnacentral:rRNA from 1 species